CGGCAGGCUUAACACAUGCAAGUCGAGGGGUAACAGGGUGCUUGCACCGCUGACGACCGGCGAACGGGUGCGUAACGCGUAUAGAAUCUGCCUUGUACAGGAGGAUAGCCUUUAGAAAUGAAGAUUAAUACUCCAUAGUGUAUUGAAGUGGCAUCACUUUUUUACUAAAGAUUUAUUGGUACAAGAUGACUAUGCGUCCUAUUAGCUAGAUGGUAAGGUAACGGCUUACCAUGGCUACGAUAGGUAGGGGGUCUGAGAGGACUAUCCCCCACACUGGUACUGAGACACGGACCAGACUCCUACGGGAGGCAGCAGUGAGGAAUAUUGGUCAAUGGAGGCAACUCUGAACCAGCCAUGCCGCGUGCAGGAAGACUGCCCUAUGGGUUGUAAACUGCUUUUAUACGGGAAGAAACAGUCCUACGUGUAGGACCUUGACGGUACCGUAAGAAUAAGCACCGGCUAACUCCGUGCC
rnacentral:rRNA from 1 species